rnacentral:rRNA from 1 species
GGGAGGAGCUUGCUCCGCCCCGACGACGAGUGGCGAACGGGUGAGUAAUACAUCGGAACGUGUCCGCUCGUGGGGGACAACCAGCCGAAAGGUUGGCUAAUACCGCAUGAGUUCUACGGAAGAAAGAGGGGGACCCGCAAGGGCCUCUCGCGAGCGGAGCGGCCGAUGACUGAUUAGCCGGUUGGUGAGGUAACGGCUCACCAAAGCAACGAUCAGUAGCUGGUCUGAGAGGACGACCAGCCACACUGGGACUGAGACACGGCCCAGACUCCUACGGGAGGCAGCAGUGGGGAAUUUUGGACAAUGGGCGCAAGCCUGAUCCAGCUAUUCCGCGUGUGGGAUGAAGGCCCUCGGGUUGUAAACCACUUUUGUAGAGAACGAAAAGACACCAUCGAAUAAAUGGUGUUGCUGACGGUACUCUAAGAAUAAGCACCGGCUAACUACGUGCCAGCAGCCGCGGUAAUACGUAGGGUGCGAGCGUUAAUCGGAAUUACUGGGCGUAAAGGGUGCGCAGGCGGUUGAGUAAGACAGAUGUGAAAUCCCCGAGCUUAACUCGGGAAUGGCAUAUGUGACUGCUCGACUAGAGUGUGUCAGAGGGAGGUGGAAUUCCACGUGUAGCAGUGAAAUGCGUAGAUAUGUGGAAGAACACCGAUGGCG